UUGAGCUUAUUGUGCUCCAUCUUUUUACCCAUAACGGAAAAAUUAACACCACCAUAAAUCUUGAUUAGUUUUUGUUAUUGAGAAGUCUGUGUGUUUUUUUGGGUUCGUUUUGGAUUUAUUCUCCGAAAUGAUAGAUUGAUUGUCUUUUGUUAAAAGAGAGGUUCUUCAAUGUUUUAAUUUCUGAAAUUUUGUUGUCGUUCUAAUUUGAUGAAUACCUACAUUUUCGUUGCAGGUUGUGGGUUUCUUAGCGGUGGCAAAGGUGUAUUCGAUUCUCUUUUCAAUAGGAAAUGUUCUGACCUUAAGGGUUUCUUUAAUUUCAUUUGCCUAUGAUUUUCUUUGUGGCUGUGUCAAUCUGCACCAUCUUACCAGAUUUGAAGUGCAGUUUGUGACCGAGAACCCGAUCCUAAGAAAUACUUUGUUCGAUCCUUCGUAUCUGCUGAUUGAUCUGAGUUCCGCUCUCCUGCUCUCUUUCUGCUUCUACUCAAAUUUUGCUUCUGCUUUUGGAUUACGAGCUAGAGUUUUUCUGAAGAUCUCUUUGAAGAUUUACAGUGCAGCAUAUAAAUACUCGAAUUCGUAAGCAGCAGAUAUAUACUCGAAUUUGUAAGCAGUUUAGCGGAUACAUGUUCUUUUUGUAAGCAGCGCGACAAAUAUGUACUCAGAUUUGUAAGUAGUGUAGCAGAUAUGUACUCGAAUUUAUAAGCAGUGUAGCAGAUAUGUACUCGAAUUUAUAAUCAGUGUAGCAGAUAUGUACUCGAAUUUAUAAUCAG